rnacentral:rRNA from 1 species
UCAGACGGGGAGACCGAUGCGGCGUGAAGACGGGGGGGGCGGAGGUGGUACGGGAUGAGUGGGCUGAAAGGGGACGUAGGCGGUUCAGUAAGUGUUGAGGUGAGUAUUCGGGCUACACUCGAAGUCUGAACGAGAAACUGCCGGGCUUGAGUGUGGGAGAGGUGAGUGGAAUUUCCGGGGUAGCGGUGAAAUGCGGAGAUAUCGGAAGGAACACCUGUGGCGAAAGCGGCUCACUGGACCACAACUGACGCUGAGGCACGAAAGCUAGGGGAGCAAACAGGAUUAGAUACCCGGGUAGUC